UACGUAGGGGGCGAGCGUUGUCCGGAUUUAUUGGGCGUAAAGAGCUCGUAGGCGGUUUGGUAAGUUGGAUGUGAAAUCUCCAGGCUCAACUUGGAGGGGUCAUUCGAUACUGCCAUGACUAGAGUUCGGUAGGGGAGUGUGGAAUUCCUGGUGGAGCGGUGAAAUGCGCAGAUAUCAGGAGGAACACCCGUGGCGAAGGCGGCACUCUGGGCCGGAACUGACGCUGAGGAGCGAAAGCGUGGGGAGCGAACAGG
rnacentral:rRNA from 1 species